rnacentral:rRNA from 1 species
AUAAAAAAGAGCAAAAGAAGGGCGUAUGGGGGAUGCCUAGGGUCUCAGAGGCGAAGAAGGACGUGAUAAGCUGCGAUAAGCUACGGGGAUGAGCACACAUCAAUUGAUCCGUAGAUUUCCGAAUGGGGCAACCCAGUUAGUUGAAGACUAACUAUUCAUACUAGGUAUGAAAGCGAACGUGGGGAACUGAAACAUCUAAGUACCCAUAGGAGAAUAAAACAACAGUGAUUCCGAGAGUAGUGGCGAGCGAAAUCGGAGCAGCCCAAACCGGCCUUGUUACGGCAAGCCCGGGGUUAUAGGACUGCAUUUAGAAGUAUAUUUUAACUUGAAUGACUUGGGAAGGUCAACCGUAGAGUGUGAUAGUCACGUAAGGGUAAAGAAUAUAGGACGAGCAGAAUCCUGAGUAGGUGGGGGCCGGUGAAACCCCCUCUGAAUUCGGCAGCACCAUCUGC